GUCCCUGCAGGGAUGGUAGAAGAGCUUUAUGGAUGCUUUCUGCACGAUGCUGGUGAAGUUGAAGGCGGGACGUGAAGUCAUAAGGCAUGCACACACACAAAGAAAUACACAAACACUGCUGUCAUCGUGGCACGCAGCCCAACUUGGUUUCAUUGAUUUCAGUUGACCUGCCGUCGUUGCAGCUCGGAGGGUCGGAUAAAACACAAAGAUAGUUCUAGUUCAUCCGAUAGAAGUGUGGAGAUAAGUUUGCAGAGUGAGAAUAAAGUUUUAAUGGCGAGGCAUGUGUCAGCGGGGUGAGGGGAGAGACAAAGGGAAGGGAAGGGAGCUCAACUCGGGAUGUUGAUGCGUAAAAGUCGGGAAGGUGGAAUCAGGAGUUGGAAGAAAAGCAGGACUUUGACAGUGAGCAGCUAUUUAAAGAAGUGUUGCUUCCAUCGUAAUGAUAUCGGAGAGAUUUCGCUGUGCUUCGCACAUUGUCAUGGAGAUGGAGGAGCGACUGAAUCACACCAAAUCCUCAUCUUCAACAAGAUGCAGUGCUCCAUUGGCUGUCCUUUGGAGUUUCUUGGCACCUGAGUAACGUCCUCUGAGUGACCUGGUUCUGGACUUAACAGACUCUCCUCACACUACUGAAAAGCAUCAGAGGAGAAACAGCAUCAGGAAAUCCUCAUGAAGAUGCAUCAGGAUGACCCUUGACUUGAGAGUCUACAUUAACAGCUGACACAACGUGACAUAACACUAUA